CCGACGGUGAGGGAUGAAAGCUGGGGGAGCAAACCGGAUUAGAUACCCGGGUAGUCCCAGCCGUAAACGAUGUGCGUUAGGUGUAUCGGUGACCACGAGUCACCGAGGUGCCGAAGAGAAAUCGUGAAACGUACCGCCUGGGAAGUACGGUCGCAAGGCCGAAACUUAAAGGAAUUGGCGGGGGAGCACCACAACAGGUGGAGCCUGCGGUUUAAUCGGACUCAACGCCGGGAAACUCACCAGAUAAGACAGCUGAAUGAUAGUCGGGCUGAAGACUCUACUUGACUAGCUGAGAGGAGGUGCAUGGCCGUCGUCAGUUCGUACUGUGAAGCAUCCUGUUAAGUC
rnacentral:rRNA from 1 species